GUGCUUGGAAAUCAUGCUCUGCGAGAUCUUUAAUCACUCUCGUCGUAUCUGAUUCCUUUUGCUUAUAGUAUAGUUACCAACUUAACGAUUAAGUUACAGUUAGCAACUUAGCGAGCCAAACAAGCUUUCCCAUGUUUUGAUGCCGAAAAAAAAGUUUUUUUUUUUAACAUUCUAGCCAUCGCAUAUAUCCAUCAGGGGGAAGUACCUGCUGUUGCAGGAUGUACCAGUCUCUGGCUGAGGAGCGCUUGGAGGUCCUUCAGGUGUACAGAUUGCUGCAAUAUGUGCAUGAGGGCAACACGCUUCAGAUUGAGAAGCUGGUCCACAGGGGCGUUCCUGGGCUGAUCAACCUCACAGAACCACAGGAAGGAAACUGUGCUCUACAUCUGGCCUCGGUGGCAAACUCGCUGGACAUGGUGAACUUCCUGCUGUCCCAGGGCGCCCACCCCGACGUGCAGGACAAGAAGGGGCGAACGGCCGUCAUGCGGGCAGCUGAACUCGGCCACGAUGCCGUCGUUGCCCUGCUGGCCAACAGUGACGCCAACAUGAAGGUGGUGGACUCAGAGGGGAGAGGCGUGCUGUUCUACUGCCUGUCUCCUACUAAGCGCCACAUGCGCUGUCUGGAUCUGGCUCUCGACCACAUGGCGGACGUGAACAACGUGUCAUUUGUGGGGAAGCCUGUGCUCCUGCUGGCCUGUGAACAAGCCCGGGACUGUGAGAGCAUGUGCAUCGCUUUACUGCAGAGAGGGGCAGACCCAAAUGCAACCAAUCAGGCGACGGGCCGUACACCUCUGAUGGAGGCAGCCAGGGGGGGAGCCCUAGAGCUGGUGCGGGCCGUUCUCCAGAGUGGGGGGGACCCCAACGCACUGGACAAGAAAAGAAUGCAUGCAGCUCAUUUUGCAGCUAUGGGGGGCUUCUUUGAGGUCAUUCGGGUGCUGUCGGCGUAUUCGGCAGACUUUGGUAUAAUGGCUGCCGAUGGGACCACACCACUACACUAUGCAGCACAGGGGGGGUUCUCCGAGUGCUGCAGGUUCCUAGCCCAGAGAGGUUGCAAUCCUAAAUUGAAGAACUAUGAGGGUUUGUUGCCCCGUCAGAUUGCUAAAGACAACGGCCACAAGCAAGCAUUGAACGAACUGAAGAAGGCGGAAAGGCUCCACAACAAGUUCUCCAAGCCUGGGGCAGUAAACCCCAAUGAGCAGUGGACUGUCACUCUUCACGACUGGUCCUGUGAGCACGAGGCCGUGCUGAUGGCUCUGUUUGCGGAGGCAGAGGACACGGCUACCUCCGCUGAGACUGUCUCCAAGGAGACCUUUAUCUCCAUUCUGCAGAAGAGGGGGGCGCCCGUAGACAUUGACCAACUGCAUGCAGUCGUUUCCUCCCAUGAUAAGAAGCGAGAUGGUCAGAUCAACCUCAGUGAGUUUUUUAAGGGACUCAAGUAUCUGCAUAAGACAUGUGUCAUCUCGUCCUACAGCCCCAAGAGGAAGAAAUCCAGCACAGGCAAUAAGGGCAAGAAGAAGGGCAAGCUGGUCCUCCCCAUGCCUAUCUGCACUUUGCCCCCUGAGCUCAUCCAAAGGCGUGAGGAUGGCGGUCCGCCCCACUUCAUGAUAGAGAGCUACCAGCAGUUCACUGACACCAGCCGCUUUGGCAGGGACCACCCACCAGCGCAUGCCAUUGAAGAUGAUUCUGCCUGGUACGUCGAGGAACCUGAGAAGAUCUACGCGAACGUUAACUACUGCGUGAAGACGGGGGACAUGGAGUCUCUGCUGCUGGCCUUCAGGCAGGGCGUGCCGCUGGACGUCAAAGAUCGCUACUACAAGACGCCGCUCAUAACUGCCUGCGCUUGUGGGAGCUACGAAGUUGCCAAGUUCUUGAUUAGUUUGGGGGCUGAUGUCAACGCAUGCGAUCAGUUCAACUGGACACCCCUGCACCAUGCCUGCCACGCAGGGCAGCCAGACGUGAUCGACCUGUUGGUGCAGGCGGGGGCCUUGGUGGACGCGCCGGCCUGGAACGGAGCCACGCCCCUAAUGAGGGCCAUUGAGAGCUGUCGACUGAGCUGUGUUGACUACCUGCUCAAGGCUGGUGCCAAGGUACAGGCACAGAACAAGAAAGAGCAAAACUGCUUGGACAUUGCCAAGACCUACGCAGACUUCAGGAUAGUCGAGCUGAUUCAAGCCAAGUUUGACAGUCUUCCUAAAUCCAGAGACAACAAGAAGGGAAAGGGAAGGAAUCUAGAGCCCAAGCCCAAAUCGGCUGCCUCCACUAGAGACAAGGGCCCCGGUCCCGCCUCUCCCGUGGUAUCAGAAAUGCCUGUAAAGAGAGAAGCACAGAAGGAGAGUAUUAUAUUCCACAACUCUCUAAUCACCAGCCAGGCGGCCAACAAGCCUGACAUCAGCUUUGUGCCCAAAACGUCUCAGGUCUGGGGUCGCCCGCGGACGACCAGCCAGCUUAUCCAGAAGAAGGAGGAGUGGAGGGAGCGACACUCCUAUCAAGUGGACUUCGAAGACUUUCUGAUGCCUUUCAACAGAAACAUUAUGGAAAUGUCUCAACAGCUGGCAGAGCUCAACUAAUGCAAAUGAACCUAUUUCUGCUUGUAUCUUUUAGUCAGUUUCCUUUAUCAUUCUGCGGUAUGUUUUAUGCAAAAUACAUUAGUGUUUUUGCAGCUUGUUCUGUAGGUGUCGUUUCUUAAUGAUCGCAGCGCCCGCUGCCAGUUACGGAUGGGUAAAGAGUUGGGUGAAUGACCGGGAACCCCAGGAUUUCAAUGAGUCGCUUCCAGGCUCAUGUUCCUACAUUAAUGUUUAGAACAGGGAUGUUUUCCACAAAGCUGGAUUUUUUAAUUAGUCAAAUAAUGUAAAUUAUCUGGCUAAUGGGGGGAUUCUGCUUUGUGAAAUACCCCCCCCCCCAGGUCAUACAGUAUGGAUUAUGUAAGGGAUAAACUGCAACAAGGUGUGUGGUUAUACAAAAAUAAUGAAGAACGACUUGGUGCAAUGCUAACCAACUUGGAGCUGAUCAUUUUUGUAUAACCACACACCUAGAAGUGCAUUUAAGUUUUCAGAAGAAAAUUAUCUCAAUUAACAUUUAGUGAUGUUCCAUUGUGCUCCUAAAAGUAUAUAGUCCCUAUAAGGAUAAAACUCCGGGUCACACUGCUCACUGAAAGCAGCAAGUCCGUUAAGUAACCGUAGAAACCAUCAACAAACAGCUGCUUGCAUUUUGAAAACCAAGGAAAAUUAAGCUGAUAAGAAUGAUUGUUCAUUUAUGAAUAAUAUGUUUAAUGAAACAUUAAAAUGCAUUAAUGUAGAACUGUUAUUAGGCUGCCGGAACUACCUGUGUGGUUAUAUGCAAAUAAUCAACACUAACAUGACAUCUCUGGACCAAUAAGUAAAAAGUAGUAUUGACCGAAGCUAUGGUAUGAAAAUUUAUAUUGGUAUGGACAUGAAUAGAGUCGUAGUAAACUGAUUAUCACAGAAUUGAUUGAUAUUUAAUGACCAGAUCAGAUUCCUUUUACAACCUGACAAAGCUUAACUUGAAGGGUGUUCGCAUUGUCCGGAUGAACUGAGGGGGAAACCAGAGAGAAUUCCUCCCAAUGACUUAUACACUGCAGAGCCUUGGGGCAGAGUUGGGUAAAGGGUAGGAGAAGCUCCUGGGUGCUAGGUCUUUGUGGGGUACAUGAACACACACUACAGAUCAGUGUGCCACAGUUACAGGACUCAUUCAUCAGUCCUGCAUCGCUGAAGCCCAAUAAUCAUAUCUUUAGGGAAGGAAACAUCCGCCUCCAUGUAGUUUUUGACUUUCUAAUUAGUUAGUUAAGUUUAGUUAGUAUAGCAGUUUUUUCGUGAUGGGUCAUUGGUAGGGUCUCUGAAUCACUGUGAGAUUAAAAUGAAAGCCAUUACAAUUGAAUGUCUCAGGAAAAACAAUAAAUACAUAGAUACAUAGACUAUGGACAGCGACUGCAUUUUCAGUGCACUUUUGGAUACUAUGUUUGUAACAAUAUGUCAUGUCUAUCUGAAAGUAAAUAAAUGAGCAAAUAAGUCCAAUAACUUCAGUUUGAACUAUAUUGUGCUGUUUUAUCUAAAGACAGGCCAUAUUGUAAAAAAUGAAACUUUUACAACUUCAGUGAGAAGUUUGCUAACAUGGCUAUUUACAGUACAGCCAUGUUUAUAAUGCUUUAUGAAUGCAUUAUAAUGCAACAUGAAUGUGUUUGAAAAUACCAAAAACGUGGCCUUAAGGAAAAUGUUACCAAAAGUUCUUUUGACUCACAAAGGCAUAAUUUCAAAUAGUGGUGUGAGAGUUUAAUUUUAGCUAUUCUUAGUUCCUUCUGAAUUCCUAAACUUCUUUUUCAUAUUCUAAUGACACGCAUAAUUCCUCCUCAAAAGUCUUCCUGAAGUUGCUUUCUUGGUACUCCUGGGGGGUAUUCCACGAAGCAGGAUUAAGGGAAAGUCUGACUUAUUUCGACAAGUUGGGCUCAUGUAAAUGGGAGUUCUGUUCCAUCAACGUGUCUUAAAUGAAUCCCCGCUGAGUUACCAUGGUGACUUAGGCGAGUGAACAAGUCUGUUCCGGACCAAGUUAACUGUCUCGCUCAAGAAGCUCCACUCUACAGGCGUCCACAGCUGGACCCUUCUCGUCUCGCUUAGUUAAGCGGUGUCUCAAAGAACGCCCGACGUGUGGGAACGGAUUUCCAAAAGAUCGUUCCGUCGGACGAAAUUCCGCGAUCAUACUACUAAUGUCAUGUAAUCUGUUGAAUUAUGUGUCCUCAUCUGUCAUAAUAUUUUGCAUUAUCUGAUUGAACUAUUUUGCUAAUCUGUAAGGUGUAGUGUACCAAAAAUACCGUGAUUUUGUUUGAGUUAGCGGGAGAAUGAGUCUUGUAUAUAGGCAUAUAUAAAACUGGAACCCUGUAGUCAGUGCUGUGAGAAAAAGCAAGACGAGAAAGCAAAGAUUAAAAACAUUUUUUCUGAAGUAAUCCUCUGCGUGAUACUUCCAUAAUAUGGAGAACAGAGCUGAGAUUGCUACAUAUAAUCAAU